rnacentral:rRNA from 1 species
AUCGCGUCGCCCCCCACAAUUCUCCGUAAAGGGAACGUGUGUUUUGGGGGCGGAUAUUGGUCUCCCGUGCUCAUGGCGUGGUUGGCCGAAAUAGGAGUCCUUUCGAUGGACGCACGAACUAGUGGUGGUCGUAAAAACCCUCGUCUUUUGUUUCGUGCUGUUGCUCGCAAGGUAAACUCUUUAAAAACCCCAAUGUGCCGUCUCUUGACGACGCUUCGACC